UACGUAGGGGGCAAGCGUUAUCCGGAAUUACUGGGUGUAAAGGGAGCGUAGACGGUAAUGUAAGUCUGGAGUGAAAGGCGGGGGCCCAACCUCCGGACUGCUCUGGAAACUAUGUUACUAGAGUGCAGGAGAGGUAAGCGGAAUUCCUAGUGUAGCGGUGAAAUGCGUAGAUAUUAGGAGGAACACCAGUGGCGAAGGCGGCUUACUGGACUGUAACUGACGUUGAGGCUCGAAAGCGUGGGGAGCAAACAGG
rnacentral:rRNA from 1 species